GGAACGAAAACGUGAGCGUUUUAAGGGUCGUUGUAAAACUACGGCCUACGGCUUUCCAAACAAAGUCCACCAUCCCCCUAAUUACCAUCUUUGGAGUUACAUAAAAACUGACUGGCGCCGUUCAGCCGGUAACACCCCUGAAGUGAACCGAGAACCGCCCCUGUCAACCUGCUCCGUGUAAAGACCUGGGGACCUGCCAAGGCCGCGGGGCUGCGAGCUCAGCACAUGGGUGUCUGCAAAGCCGGGGAGGGGGGCGCGGGGGUUGCGCAAUACGGGAGGGCCGCUCUCCCCCAGGCGGGCCGCUCCGACGCCAAGGUGGGCUUGGGCUCUCCCCGCUCACUAAUGAACACUCGCGCCCUUUGGAAAGCGUUUCCCCAGUUAUCUCAGCGAAUCCUCCCAACCACCCUACUGGGGGCGAGACCAGGCUUAAGAGUCACCAUUUCUCCUUCGAGGAGGGGGCGGCCGAGUGUGCUAGCGCCGUGUCAAGAAAGACCCCGUUUUCCCACCUCCGCAGCCUUACCGCCGCCAAAGGUCCGAGGUUGCCGGCCUAGCUCGGACCAGCCUGAGGCCGCCAUGACUUCCCGCCACGAGACCGACGCCGAAAAGAGAGAAGGGCCGCGCCUGCGCGCAAGUCUUCGCGGCAGUCUCGCCGGAACUCUCGCGCUGUUGAGAAAAGGCUGAUGGGAAAUGUAGUGCAAACAUUCGCCGCUGCGGGGCAGCCGCGUCCUCAGCGCGGCUCUGGACCCGGGAUUAGAUGGUGGCCGCCGCCAGGGACAGUAGAGAGCCCGGGGCCUAGUUGGUAUUCCACUGCCUCUGCUCACAGCUUAGUCCCCACUAGGGGGCAUGUGCAUUCCACAGAGAGGGUCUGCACUUCUAAAGUUCCAGGACUUGUUUCCAGUUUGUCCGUGGAUCCCUCUUGAAGCUACCUCCUUGGUCCACAUGCCCUGCGCCCUCCCCCUGCAAAAACAAACAGCUCCCUGCUCCUCUAGCUCCGCCUCCAGCCGGGCCGCUGGCUGCCAUCGUCUCCCUCCCAGGGGCUCUGCCCUGGUUGAAGGAGGUAGCAGAAUGGCAGUGGCAGUGGCUCUCAGUGCUGGCCUCGCCGUCCGUCACCCCUGCCGGUGGCCACUGCUUCCUCCCUGAAGGGGAUGACAGAUCCUGGAGGGUCCACUCUCCUCCUUCCCCUCAGCUGGUAGACAAGGACUGGCCUUUCGCGACCCAGAGUCUGGUCUGCCCUUGAACCCCAGGUUCCUGAAGAGAGAGCAUGUGAAUCACCCUGGCAAACCCCGCCCGGCCCACCUGCAAAGGCACUGCUGGGGUGAGGCCGCAGCUCUCAUGCCUUGUGCCUGGAGGACGGUCACCCCAGGCUUUCCUCACAGGCCCCGCUCUAGACUGUUCCUUCCUCGCCCGACAGCCUCACAAGCUUGGGCAUCAGCGUUGCCCAGGCACAGGUCCUGGCUUUGCCACCAGUUGCGCGUGACCUUGAGUGGGUUCUGUGAAC